rnacentral:lncRNA from 1 species
AAGACAAAUACAAAUAAAUGUGAUGCAAAGUGUAUGACAGCAUGCAACCUUAAUCAAACUUUUAACCUGACAAAGUGUCUCAUAACUUGUAAAAAAAUUUAGAAAAAUAAAUUGAAAUUUCGUGCCACUACUGACAUGUCACAUGUUAUUGUAUGUAAAGAUUAAAUUUUUGUUAUGAGAACUACAGUUCUUAUGAAAGAAAAAGAUCUAAAUUGGAGCAGCUACAGACUAUAUUGCUCCCAGCACCCAGGACCACUCUGAGAGGUCCUUUAACAAAUGUUGCAGUAAUAAUGGUAUGGAAUAGCCCUCUUUCAAAUGGAGGGCUCAUCCAUACAGGGGUGCUGGGAGGCACCAAGUAAAAAAUUGCAACAAAAAAUUUUUUAAUAUAUUCAAUC